GCAAAAACAAGAGGCUGUUCAUAAAUCUUGAUUCUAAUUGAUAAAUACAGAGGCUUUAUGCACAUGACGAAUUACUGUUUUGAUUAAAAAGAUAUUGUAAUUGUAAAUCAAUUGUUUUCAUAACCGUUUUAUUUCCGGGUAUUAUUUUGAUCAAAAACGUCAACAACAUUCAGUGGACUUUGGAGAAUUGACGACCCUGAACAAGGCCGGGUACCAUGCUUUAAGCGGGAGAUAGUAUCUUGGUAGCAUAUUUAUUUAUAGGUGCUAUAAAAAGGGCAAUGAAAAGGAAUUUCAAGUCAAACAAAGAUUGAGUGUUCAUUUGUUACAAGACUUGGGAUGAUGAUUCUUUAAUGCUGUUACCUGCUUUUAGUGGUCGGCGCUUUGGUCGUACCUGCUGAUGCGAUCGAUGUGUGUAACUCUAUAUACAAUGACGGGUGCGGGGACCCGUUCGUUUCAUCCGCUUCCAAAGCUGGUUGCAGACAAUGUUCCAAACUGAAGGGAACCAAAGGGUCUAUUCAAUUCGUGGCAAGAGAUUGUGAGACGUUAACGGUUGCCAGCAACGGAUGUGCUUCUCAGACAAAGGAUGGUGCGAGCGGAGAGGUAUGUUUGUGCGACAGCAACCAAUGCAACACAGCGUCGACACCCCUUGCCUACCUUCCUAUCCUGCUGGUCGCCUUCGCUCUGGCGUCAACGAAAACGUUUUUGUAUUAGAGAACUUAAUUCAACGAAUAAACAUGUUUCAGUAUUA